UACGACGGGGGCUAGCGUUGCUCGGAAUCACUGGGCGUAAAGCGCACGUAGGCGGACUCUUAAGUCGGUGGUGAAAUCCUGGAGCUCAACUCCAGAACUGCCUUCGAUACUGAGAGUCUCGAGUCCGGGAGAGGUGAGUGGAACUGCGAGUGUAGAGGUGAAAUUCGUAGAUAUUCGCAAGAACACCAGUGGCGAAGGCGGCUCACUGGCCCGGUACUGACGCUGAGGUGCGAAAGCGUGGGGAGCAAACAGG
rnacentral:rRNA from 1 species